UGACGAGUCCCAAAUAGGGCGAAACGCGCGUC
rnacentral:hammerhead_ribozyme from 1 species